GAGUACUCAAUGAUUCUAGUUGAAAGAAAGAAAAAAGGAAGUAAGAAAGGAGGAAGAGGCAGGCACAAGACAAAAUGAAUCUCUCCGCUGUGCACAUGGAGCCUUAGCUCUGAUUCCAGUUGAGCAAAAUUAUGAAGAAGAUGAUUCCCCAUAUGGAGCACACCCUGUGGCGAGUCACUCACUCCCCGAAGGCCUUCUGAAGGAUCACGCAUGUCCUGACUGCACAGCCUGCUUUGGACAAUGCUCUCAAAGCCACGGUUGUAAUAGAAAGUGGAAAAUUAAAGCAGAUCCAUGUGGCCUCAGCACAACAAAAGCAAGGUAGGCCAAAGAGAAGUCAGGAAAAAAUGGAUGUUACUACUGCUAGUACUGCUUCUGCUGCCAAGUUUUUGAGCACAUAACCAGGAUGACAGCCACAGUUCCACAAAGCUCUGAUACAACAUCAAAAAGAAACUCACCACCAAGGAAAGCAGUGAAUCCUUUCUUGUCUUGAGUGAAUGGCAAUUAUCUUGGUGGCCAAGAUAACAAGUACACAUAUUUAUUAUAUUCAAAAACUAUUCUAAAAUGUAUGUUCUCUAUAUAAAGUAAUCUCCACAUGAUUCUGAGGAAAAGGUUUAAUCUAUCUUACUACUACAAAGUUCUUAAUACUACUUUGACAAGGAGGUACUAUAUCCCAAGAUGUGAUACUUUUUGCUCAGUUUUUAAAUUAAACAUUCUAGAGUAAUUUUAUAGAGUGAUGUCAGCAUGAUGGCCAACCAGAGUUGCAUGACACAAAAAGGUACCAAAACAAUAAAUAAACUAUGCUUUGACUGGAAUUACUAAUGAAGUACACUGGAAAGUGCCGGGGGAGCAACAAAAUUUCUAUAGAGCAUGGAAGCCCAGGAUAGCACCGCAGAGAGGGAAAUGAGAUAUCCUCCCUCUGCCAUAUGCUAUCCCCCACCAGGAUCAGCUCAGAGCCAGGGAAACUUCUUCUCACGGGGAAAAAGUAAGCUGGAAUCCUUCAUCCCAUCACCUACACAGACAGGAACAGUCAUUGCUAUAAAAGGGUCUCCCGGUACUUACGGGACCAGAAACCUGCGUGGAGAGUUACUGGGAGUUCAUGUGGCCGCACUGCCCCAGAACAGGAACCACUUUGGCAUUCCAACCCCCAUGACCUAAGCUGCUACA